ensembl:lncRNA
CGUUUUUUGAUGCUUACAUCUAAAUUUCAAAUUGCUUCCUUAAUCAGUGAAUUAAACACAUUCUUGUGGGACUGUUCAGCCUAGAGAAGAGAAGGCUGGGAGUGGGGAUCUUAUCAAUGCUUGCAAAUAUCUAAUGCACAAGAGUCACGUGGAUGGGGCCAGGCUCUUUUUGGUUGUGCCCAGCAACAGGACAAGGGGCAAUGGGCACAAAAUGGAACGCAGGAAGUUCCAUAAGGCAGGGCUGGAUGAGACUUGGAGCAACCUGGUCUAGUGGGAGGUGUCCCUGCCUAUGGCAGGGAAGUUGGAACUAGAUGAUCUUAAAGGUUCCUUCCAACCCAAACCAUUCUAUGAUUCUAUGAUUCUAUUCACUACUGUGAUGGUAACAGAGCACUGGAACAAGUUGUCCGGAGAGUUUGUGGAGCCUCCUUCUCUGGAAAUAUUCAGAACCCACCUAAACACUUUCCUGUUUAACCUACUAUAGGGAAUCCGCUAUAGCAGGGAAGUUGGACUUCAUGACCUCCAGAGGUCCCUUCUAACCCCUACAAUUCUGUGAUUCUGUGAUUCUGUAUGUAGGUGUAUCUGUACAGCUUUAAAAUGAGUUUUUAGAACUACCUUUGAACAAGUGUUUGCUAUGAAAUGUGGCACAUAUUCAACUUUUUUGUCCCUUUUGGAUUUGACCCUCAUUCUAAAGGGCAUCUAUGGAUCUCUCAGCCAGUAGCAGGGAGAUGGUGCACCAAGCCACAUGCAACCUCUGCAACAUCUGAAAGGCAACACUUAGGACAUGACCUAGAUCAUCCUCUGGAGCUGGGACCUGGUGCCUCCAUCCACAGGAUAAAGGGUAAGACUCCAGCAGAAGGAUACCACAUCUUACUGGGCAAAAGCAAGAGGAGCCCAGCAGCUAAUGGGGUCCAAGCUCAUAUCUCCAAAAUAAGUUGCUCCCAGAAGCCAGAAAUACAUUCUUGAGGCAAAGAUAAAAAUAGAAGGUGCUAGCAGAUAGAGGGACAAUCUCACAGAAGGAAGAGAAAUCACAGCCUUUAACACAUCUGUACCAGAAAAUAAUCUGUAAUGGGGUCUGCUUUACCACUCCUCUCCAGACCUUAGAUUCAUCUCUCUCACUACGUGCUGUACCUGAAUGAUCCACAACUUCUCCUUGGGGCAUUCCUUCUUAUCCCUUUUUCCAACACUUGGUUUUGGCGACACCUUCAAAACCUGGUUCCAGGCUCUCAUUAAAAUCAUCUUGGAAUAGACUUUGUCAGCAGUGGGAAAAAGAUAUUUUGAGAUGAAAAAGAUCCAUAUACAAUCACAUUAGAAUUUCAAAACUCCAGUCUUUCCCAGACUCCUUUGAGCUAGACAGGGUAUAAACACAGCAUGAAAUAUUUCCAUGUCACAUAUACUUACAAUUCGUUGAGAAUGAGUUUAAAAAUAGGCCCAAAUUCUGGUAGAGGGUGUUUUACAUUCACUUAGUGCUUUACAGACAACCAAAGGAAGUGUGAGGAAUGGUCAAUCAAAUUGGUUCCCUGAUCCUUUGAAAGUCAGCUGAUCAUUUCCGUGUAUCCUGAAGUACCCAACACGUACUGUCAAACAUGUAAUAUCACGUGUGAUGUGACGUUAAAUUGUUGUGCGCUGGGAGUUUUAAGUUACAAGGUUAAUUUUAUAAUACAUCCAGUGGAAGAGGAGUCUGUACAGGCAGAAUCCAGAGUGAAUAACUAAAGUGCCAAAAUCUGCUGAAAUUUUAGAUACUUGGACCUGCCAGGGAAAAGAAAGUGCCUACAAUCCCUUUAAAGUUAGUGGAGAGAGGUACAUAUCUCUAAAGAUACUGAAAGAGAGAUGCAGCCUCACUAAAGCUUAUCUUUCUUCAUUAACUGCAUAGAGACUUUAUGAAAUACUAGAUGACUUCAUUUAUUCAGAAAC